UAACGGUCUACUACGGGAGUACAGCUAAUUUGCCGUAGUCGCUACUACGUGACAGAUUAGAUAUGUCUGCAGUUGGCAUCAACACCUCAGGUAGCGAUGAUUAUGUGGAACGAGCAAUGUAAGUAGCCCAAACAUCCUCCUCAAAACACAGCUUAUGUUAAAUGUAAAAAUGUAUUUUCAGUAUAUCUAAUUAUACUUACUGUUCAAAACGAGCUUGCUAGUUCAUAUGUCUUGUUGAUUAGAGCCCCUAUGGAGUGGACAGAGAGGCAUGAUAUACUCCUCUGUAGAGAAAUCCUUCUGAUAGAGCCGUACAGAUUCAAGAAGGGCAGCGUUGACAAGGGGGAAGCCUGGUCUACUAUAGCUGAAACACUGAAUUGUUUCCAAGAACUAAAAUGUAAAGUAACGCAGAGGUCUGUGAGGGAGAGAUUCACCUUAAUACAGAUGAAAUACAAGACCAAAAAUUACAAAGAUGAGAGGAGUAGUGGCACAUCCGCACAAACAACAGAGCUUGAUGAGCUUAUAGAAUAAAUAUCAGAGAAAGAAAGAGCAGCAGAGGAAAACAGGCAGUGAUGAGAAUAUGAGAAAGUUGGAGACAGACAGAGCCAAAGCAGAGGAAGCAAGGAAGAAGGCAAUGGAAAGAAUGAGCCAGACUUCCAAGAGGCUUAGUGAUGAGGGAGAGGAUAGUAGAAAUACGAAACAAAGAAGAAGUGGGAAUGAUACCAUUGAGUUUUUGAGGGAGAGAGGUCAAGCUGAGAGGGCUUUGAAGGAAAAAGAAUUGGAACUGAAAAAAAUACAGAUUGAAGAGCAAGCAAAGGCAGCACAAGCGUCACAAAGUCAGAUGACUGAAAUGAUGCAGCUAAUGCAACAAAAGCAACAGCAAAUCCAGGCAAUGCAGACUAUGUUACUUCAACAACAGCAACAGCAAGGGCAAGCAUUGCAACCGCUGUUUAAACUUCAACGGUUCACGGUGGGCUGACUACGCUCAGCGCUCAGGAGAACGACGAUUACAUUGGUAAGCGAGAAUAUUAAUUAAUUUUAGCUUAUUUUAAUUAAUUAAUUUUACAUAAACCCUUGUCAUUUUUACUUAGCAACCCGUUUCUUUCAAGAAGCUAAAAGAAGAAAGGUGGUUUAUCGCGUUGUCUAGGUCCGCGCAAUUCUCCGCCGGGAGGUUUGUCAUUUUUAACAUUAAUCCCUAAGACAGCCGUUAUAAACAUGAAUUCAAACCAAGAAGAACAAAGAGAGAAGCAGCUGAUGGAGAUGUUUCCAUUUUUUCUGUGGAUAACUAUGUUUAUCUAUCCCAGAGAGCACUGUUAAAGUUUUAGCUCCACCUUAUCAGAGCUGAAAAGAGGAAGUCAGAGGAAACAUGACCAACCUGCUGCAAAACAAUAACACAAAAGGUCUGGACUCUGGCGUGCAGCAUUACUUGUUUGGUCAUCUACAUUCAGAUGAAAACACCACACUUCUCCCUAAUUCAAGAUGUCAAGCCUACUCAACGCAAAGAGAGUUAGCAUCAAAAUGGACGUGUCACUGACCAAUAACACAGAGAUGCCAGUAGUAUCUGUUUGCAGUCUACUUUUUGUUCAGUAUGGAGCAUCCAAAAUCCAUCACUCAGUUAAUUUCAAUCAUUACUAUUUAGCCCUUCCCAGUGCUGAAAUUGUCCUGGGUCCUUUGUUUUUAUUGUUUAAAUGCUUAUCUGAAUGUAAAAUUAAUAUUUAAUGCUUAUAAAUAAAUAAAAAACAAUACUAUGGUUAGUCUUUUAGCUCCCUUUUCAGAAAUAUGUGGUUCACCAUUUUUCAUGGGUUACAGAACUGGGGAAAGUUGCAGCAUACAAAAAAAAAGUCAAACUACUUGGUUUAUGGGUUUAUAGGAGAAUGUGGAGUAAAUACUUGACAUUUAUUUAAGGUAAAGGGUAAUGACCUGGUGGUGAGAUGCAAAAUAAGAUUGUCAUUAAUAUACUAUUUGAUGACAAACUUCACAUUCUAAUUCUACUUAUGUAUUUAAUUUUUUUAAGUUAACUUUAUUUAUUUGUGCAAGUUAACAUUCAAUUAUUAUUUAUUUUUGGUGGUGGUUUCUAGCAAUCAACAUAUAUUUGUGACUGACAUGUUGGAUGGGUGAGUAAGGUGGAGGGGGUUGAAAAAAACAAUAUUUCUAAAAUGGAGAGUGCUAUUUUAGGUUGACAGGUAAAAAUAUAUAUAUUUUUUAAAGUAUAAAUAAAUAAAGAAGCAUGAAUUUAUGUUAAUCCCUGUAACUGUUGCACUAUGAAUUGCUGUGUUAUAUAUUGCUUGUCAUUGUAAAUGCUAAUAAAAGUGUCUUAAAUGAUCACACAACUCCUUGAUGUCUUAUGCUUAUAGUAUUUCAGUUUUUCUAGUGAUAAAGUAGCUAUAUGAGCUGUUAAAGUCUUAAAAUGUAAUUAAAAUAAAACAAAAAUUUAAUCCCAAAAAUGAUCCCAUGAUGGGAACCCCUAAAGGGUUCUAUAUAGAACCUUUUAGGGGUUCCAAAUACAUAGCGUCUGAUAGAACCUUUUAAGGUU